rnacentral:hammerhead_ribozyme from 1 species
AUCCAGAUGAAGUGUCCUGAAUGGAACGAAACACGCGUCCUGGAU